UUUUUUUUUUUCUUUUUUUUUGCCUUUUCCUUUUGAAUUAAAGAUGUCUGUAACUCUGAGAUUAAAAAGAAAACCAACAAUUGUGGCUUUUAAUGUUUAUUCUCCUCAUAGAAUGUGAUUGUUAAAGAACAUGCACCGAAAGUUGCUUUCAAGAGUACGAAGAUUCUUUGAAACUUAAUAAAUUGCAGUUUUUUCUUGGCUGUUGAAAUAAUGUGUAUUUUUCUUUUAUGCAGGGGAUACUAAAAGUAUAUCUAUUGUUAAAUCUGUAAAGGUAUUUCAUGAAGAAGUUUAACUCUUUCACUUUGAACGAGGAUGACUUAAGCCAGGAAAACCCCUCCUGUGGUCGCUCCCUCUGCUUGUUGGUGACACACUCAUGAGCUUGUUCCAUGAACGCUUUGCACAUCACAUCCAAAAGCACUGCAGAACCAGUAGUGACCAUUUUUAUGUUAAAAUUCUGUUUUUAUCAUUUUUCCAUGCCUUCAGUAACGUAGGUGACUCGUCAGCCCUGCGAAGGCCGCGAGGCUGGAGAUGACUCUCCUGCUCGGUCAUUCCAGAACCUCCCAGUUUCUGGACCUGGAUGUCUCUAAAUUGCCAGUAAAAUUUUUGAGCUGAGCAAUAGGGUAGGAACACCAAAAUAUUUUCAUGUUUGGCCUUUCAGGGUUUGACUUGAGGAAGGUGUUUGCAGUGGGUAACCACUCCAAGGUCCCGCUACCCCAGCCAUGCCAACCUGAGGCACAGGAGAUGAAGGGACCAGGAUUCCUGGGGAGAUCCCAACCUUGCUCCACCUCCCUCAUCUGAACUGGAGUGUAUGUUCUCCUCCCACCUCCACCAAACCAGUUCCUGACCCUUGGUGGCACUGGGGCAGCUGGUGCUGAAUGUGCUGUACAGCAGGGCUGGCCCUGGGUCUCGGUGGGUGCGAGUUUGUACUGGUGAAACUCAUUCCCCCAGUCCAUUUGAGAAGGAAAAAACUAUCGUGCACAGCUGGAUUAAUAAGAAAAUGGUUCCCAGUCCUGAACAACCACCUGUGCUGUCACUGGGAUUGUCCAUAAACCAUAAUUCCAUAAGGAAGACCCGUGGGGCAGGGGGGUCCCCAGCAACUUCAGAGUUGCAGUUUGCUGGUGGGUAUGAUAGAGUUUAAAAUACCCAAAUUUAGCUUUGGGGGUAGCUUCUGUUACUGAAACAGAUAAAAAACCCUGUCUGCAGCCUGUUCUGCCAAUUUUAUUGAUCUGGCCCCAAAGUUGAACAGCUCUUUUUUACUGUUCUCCUUCUCACCUCCCUAUUUUUUAACUCUUCCAGUCGUUUCUAAUGUAACUCUUGGAAGAGAGUUUCCUUCUCUUUUCCUUCCUUGGUUCUUUGUUUGGUUUGCAUUUUGUUGGGCAUUUUUAGCUUGGCAAGGAAAACUUUUUGGUUCUGGUGUCUUUAGGUUUUGUUGACAAGACAUCAAAGUCCCUUAUGAAGUUGGAUGUUUCAGUCUUCCAUGGGGUUGGCAGUGAUGGCUUUUUGUAAAUCAAAUGCUCUCUUAAUAUUUAGCAUCCCCCUGGUAUAUUAAAGGGAAUACAGCUUUUAACCAAAAUCAAAUCAUUUACUGUUGGCAUAGCUCUUUAUUUUCAGUGUCAUUCUGCUUCAGUGCUAUUCAGUAUUUCUCAAAUUGUAAAGAAAGCUCCUGAUGAUCAGGAUUCACCCUGUGGCUCCAGAACCUUUACAAGAAAACAUUUUUAACAAUUUGUGGUUUUUCUGUAUAUUGCAUUUGCUGUACCCUCCAUGGCACCUUCACUGCAUGGCUCCCUGUCUUAAGGCCAAGAGAAUUUCUGUUUCCUAAGUGAUCUGAAACUGUCAAACUUCUUCUUAGUUCCUUGUCUAGUUUGUGGGUGGCACUGGCAGAGCAGAUGUUUUCGCUUUUUCUGCUCCAGAAAUAUAUUAUUGUUCUUGCUAAUUCAAUAUAUGAUUGUGUAUGUGAAGGAGCUUUUUAAUUAAAAAAAAAUAAUAAUUGUAUAUGGAUAUCUGUAUAUGUUAAGAAUUAUUGGAGUUGGAAGAGUCUGGAAAUGGAAUUGGAAAACCCUUUAGGAUUUGGGUUGUGGGCAGCUACAGUGUGGAGCAGAUCCAAGCAGAUCCAAGGCUGCCGUGGUGACGGAUCCUCUGAUGCUGUCCACGAACUGCUGCUGAGUCCCCGCUGCCCGGUGCCAGCUGUGCCCCUGUCUCACUGUAUUGAUGCUGAAUGUACAAUCUCAAGUCCUGCAGAGCCAGUUUCAGGGAAGGGGAGUUCUGGAAAAAUGGGAUGUGGAGCUCAAAGGAACUCUUGGUGUGAACUGCACGGAUGCCUGGCGUCCGCCGCCUUCCGCAGCGCCCCGAGGGAAACGGCAGCUCCCCAAAUGUCUGCAGAUGACAGGAAACUUCUGAUAAAGGCAGAGGAGAUGAUUAUUCUGCAGGUGAGGAAUGGCAGCUUCUGCCUGUGUGAAGUCUGGGGGCAGAAGGAAGAGGGGAGUAUCCAAACAUAACAGGACCCAGUACAUAG